GACAGAGGGUGCAAACGUUGCUCGGAAUUACUGGGCGUAAAGCGCGUGUAGGCGGAUCGGCAAGUCGGGCGUGAAAUCCCUGGGCUCAACCUAGGAACUGCACCCGAAACUGCCGGCCUUGAGUGAUGGAGAGGAUAGUGGAAUUCUCGGUGUAGAGGUGAAAUUCGUAGAUAUCGAGAGGAACACCAGUGGCGAAGGCGGCUAUCGGGACAUUUUCUGACGCUGAGACGAGAAAGCGUGGGGAGCAAACAGG
rnacentral:rRNA from 1 species